rnacentral:lncRNA from 1 species
AUAAUUUUAUAGAUACGUAUUUUCUAGAGAGUGAUGUAACAUCCAUAACAAUCUAAAACAGAUUUUCUAGGAAGUUACCGUGAAAUCUACAAAAGCAAUAAAACAUUUCAUCCCAGGUGCUGAGCUGUGAGGAGAGUAUCAGGGUUUAGGCUCUGCUGCCUUUCCCCGAAGAACUCACUUGGGAAGCAGUCAGAUUAGAAGAUAAUUCUGGAACAAAUGCCUGCCACUCUUUAAUUACAAAAAUGACAAAUGAUCUGUAUCACCACAUAUGCC